rnacentral:rRNA from 1 species
UACGUAGGGGGCAAGCGUUGUCCGGAUUUAUUGGGCGUAAAGAGCGUGUAGGCGGCCAUACAGGUCCGUUGUGAAAACUGGAGGCUUAACCUCCAGACGUCGAUGGAAACCGUAUGGCUAGAGUCCGGAAGAGGAGAGUGGAAUUCCUGGUGUAGCGAUGAAAUGCGCAGAUAUCAGGAAGAACACCCGUGGCGAAGGCGGCUCUCUGGGACGGUACUGACGCUGAGACGCGAAAGCGUGGGGAGCGAACAGG